AGGGUGCAGGGCGGAUGCCUUGGCACUAGGAGCCGAUGAAGGACGUGAUAAGCUGCGAUAAGCUUCGGGGAGUUGCACGUAAACUUUGAUCCGAAGAUUUCCGAAUGAGGAAACUCACUUAGAGUAAUGUCUAAGUAUCAUUAAGUGAAUACAUAGCUUAAUGAGGGGAACUCAGGGAACUGAAACAUCUAAGUACCUGAAGGAAGAGAAAGAAAUUCGAUUCCGUAAGUAGCGGCGAGCGAACGCGGAUUAGCCCAAACCAAUAAAGUUUUCUUUAUUGGGGUUGCGGACAUAUCAUAACGAAGAGGUAUCGUAAUUGAAGAGGUUUGGAAAGACCCACCACAGAAGGUAAUAGUCCUGUAUGUUAAACGAGAAGACUUCAGAUAUGAUCCAGAGUACCACGGGACACGUGAAACCCUGUGGGAAGCAGGAGGGACCACCCUCCAAGGCUAAAUACUACCUAGUGACCGAUAGCGUAUAGUACCGUGAGGGAAAGGUGAAAAGAACCCCGGGAGGGGAGUGAAAUAGAACCUGAAACCCUGCACUUACAAGCUGUGGAAGCACAUUUCUUGUGUGACCGCGUACUUUUUGUAGAACGGGCCAACGAGUUACGUUAAGUAGCAAGGUUAAGCACUUAAGGUGCGGAGCCGUAGCGAAAGCGAGUUUUAACUGAGCGUUCAGUUACUUGACGUAGACCCGAAACCGGGCGACCUACCCAUGAGCAGGAUGAAGCGAAAGUAAAAUUUCGUGGAGGUCCGAACCCACGAGCGUUGAAAAGCUCGGGGAUGACUUGUGGGUAGCGGUGAAAUUCCAAUCGAGCCCGGAGAUAGCUGGUUCUCCCCGAAAUAGCUUUAGGGCUAGCCUCAAGGUGAGAGAUACGGAGGUAGAGCACUGAAUGUCCUAGGGGGUAUUGCACCUACCGAAGACUAUCAAACUCCGAAUGCCGUCAUCUUAUACUUGGGAGUCAGACUGUGGGUGAUAAGAUUCAUAGUCGAAAGGGCAACAGCCCAGAUCGUCAGCUAAGGUCCCUAAAUGUAAGUUAAGUGGUAAAGGAUGUGGGAUUGCACAGACAACCAGGAUGUUGGCUUAGAAGCAGCCACUCAUUCAAAGAGUGCGUAAUAGCUCACUGGUCGAGUGAUCCUGCGCCGAAGAUUUCCGGGGCUAAAACUUACUACCGAAGCUACGGCAUCAGUAAUGAUGGGUAGGGGAGCUUCCCAUACGGGUUGAAGCAUGACCGUAAGGACAUGUGGACAGUAUGGGAGUGAGAAUGUUGGCAUGAGUAGCGAGAUGUGGGUGAGAAUCCCACAGGCCGUAAACCCAAGGUUUCCAGGGGAAGGUUCGUCCGCCCUGGGUUAGUCGGGACCUAAGCUGAGGCCGAAAGGCGUAGGUGAUGGACAACAGGUUGAUAUUCCUGUACUACCGAUAACCGUUUGAGAGAAGGGAUGACACAGUAGGAUAAGCUAAGCACACUGUUGGUUAUGUGUGCCCAAGCAUUGAGGCAGUCAAAGUAGGCAAAUCCGCUUUGAUAAUGCUGGGAUGUGAUGGGGAGCGAAAUUUAGUAGCGAAGUAGCUGAUUUCACACUGUCAAGAAAAGUCUCUAUCGAGGUUAAAGGUACCCGUACCGCAAACCGACACAGGUGGGUGAGGAGAGUAUCCUAAGGCCAGCGAGAGAACUGUUGUUAAGGAACUCGGCAAAAUGACCCCGUAACUUAGGGAUAAGGGGUGCCACCAUCAGGUGGCCGCAGAGAAUAGGCCCAAGCGACUGUUUACCAAAAACAUAGGUUUCUGCUAAGUCGCAAGACGAUGUAUAGGAGCUGACGCCUGCCCGGUGCUGGAAGGUUAAGGGGAUCUGUUAGAGCAAUCGAAGCAGUGAACUUAAGCCCCAGUAAACGGCGGCCGUAACUAUAACGGUCCUAAGGUAGCGAAAUUCCUUGUCGGGUAAGUUCCGACCCGCACGAAAGGCGUAACGAUUUGGGCACUGUCUCAACAACAGACUCGGUGAAAUUGUAAUUCCGGUGAAGAUGCCGGAUACCUGCGACAGGACGGAAAGACCCCAUGGAGCUUUACUGUAGCUUGACAUUGGGUCUUGGUACUACAUGUACAGGAUAGGUGGGAGGCUUUGAAACCAGGACGCCAGUUUUGGCGGAGCCAUCCUUGGGAUACCACCCUUGUAGUACUGGGACUCUAACCAUAGGCCAUGAAUCUGGUCUUGGGACACUGUCAGGCGGGCAGUUUGACUGGGGCGGUCGCCUCCCAAAAGGUAACGGAGGCGCUCAAAGGUUCUCUCAGUACGGUCGGAAAUCGUACGUAGAGUGUAAAGGCAAAAGAGAGCUUGAUUGCAAGACAUACAGGUCGAGCAAGGAUGAAAAUCGGACUUAGUGAUCCGGUGGUUCUGCGUGGAAGGGCCAUCGCUCAACGGAUAAAAGCUACCCUGGGGAUAACAGGCUUAUCUCCCCCAAGAGUCCACAUCGACGGGGAGGUUUGGCACCUCGAUGUCGGCUCAUCACAUCCUGGGGCUGUAGUAGGUCCCAAGGGUUGGGCUGUUCGCCCAUUAAAGUGGUACGCGAGCUGGG
rnacentral:rRNA from 1 species